AGUACGGUCCAGCCUCUUCAUCUUACCCUUUCCUUCUUUUUCUGAGGUCCUGGGGGCUGGACUUGCGCCUUUGAAAACGCUGGGCGUGUGAUCUGCCACCGAGCCAUCUCCCCAGCCCUGUUUGCCCCUGCCAAGAAUAGGAUGUGCCCCACCCACCCCCAACCGUAGCUGCCACAGGUCCUCUAUCCCCCAAUGCGGAAAUGUCAGGCCUACCUGGAAAAUGCUGUAACUGGUUAUUUGCUUAGUGAACACCACAGAAGAGGACACAAGAUAGAAGGCUGAGAGACCAUCUUCUGACCUGACAGCCUCUGCAAUCCUCACCUCAACAGAGCAGCUGCGCUUGUCUGCACCGGCUUGCACACAUCUGGCCCUGUCAACCAUCAGUCAUAGAUGGGAAGGGACUUGGUGCUCUGCCCCUCCCUGCUGGGCACUUUCCCACGACACCUAAAGUCAUCAGUUGUGUGUCCAAGGCCACUGCCGCCGCCACCACUGCCGCCGCCGCCACUGCCGCCGCCGCCGCCACACUCCUUCACUGACACCAGAACCCAGCUUCUUCAAGCCUCUAACACAGAGCGAAGGACUUCAGCACCAGGUGGUGAUGGCCGAGACGCCCAGCUUUGCUGAAGGAGCAGGUACUGGGUGGCGAAGGCAGUGUUGGACGACCCAGACCACAUCAUGUAAGCCCGUCUAAUAAAAGCUUUGAGUAUGUA